AUUGAACGCUGGCGGCAGGCCUAACACAUGCAAGUCGAGCGGAUGACGGGAGCUUGCUCCUUGAUUCAGCGGCGGACGGGUGAGUAAUGCCUAGGAAUCUGCCUGGUAGUGGGGGACAACGUUUCGAAAGGAACGCUAAUACCGCAUACGUCCUACGGGAGAAAGCAGGGGACCUUCGGGCCUUGCGCUAUCAGAUGAGCCUAGGUCGGAUUAGCUAGUUGGGGGGGUAAUGGCUCACCAAGGCGACGAUCCGUAACUGGUCUGAGAGGAUGAUCAGUCACACUGGAACUGAGACACGGUCCAGACUCCUACGGGAGGCAGCAGUGGGGAAUAUUGGACAAUGGGCGAAAGCCUGAUCCAGCCAUGCCGCGUGUGUGAAGAAGGUCUUCGGAUUGUAAAGCACUUUAAGUUGGGAGGAAGGGCAGUAAGUUAAUACCUUGCUGUUUUGACGUUACCGACAGAAUAAGCACCGGCUAACUCUGUGCCAGCCGCCGCAGUAA
rnacentral:rRNA from 1 species